UACAGAGGGUGCGAGCGUUGUCCGGAAUCACUGGGCGUAGAGGGCGCGUAGGUGGUGGCUUAAGCGUGCGGUGAAAGCUCGGGGCUCAACUCCGAGUCGGCCGUGCGAACUGGGCUCACUGGAGCAUAGUAGAGGCAGGUGGAAUUCCGGGUGUAGCGGUGGAAUGCGUAGAGAUCCGGAAGAACACCGGUGGCGAAGGCGGCCUGCUGGGCUAUGGCUGACACUGAGGCGCGACAGCGUGGGGAGCAAACAGG
rnacentral:rRNA from 1 species